ACUCCUACGGGAGGCAGCAGUGGGGAAUAUUGCACAAUGGGCGCAAGCCUGAUGCAGCCAUGCCGCGUGUAUGAAGAAGGCCUUCGGGUUGUAAAGUACUUUCAGCAGUGAGGAAGGUGGGAGUCGUAAUAGCGGCCUCAGCUUUGAUCGUAUGGCUGCAGAAGAAGCACCGGCUAACUCCGUGCCAGCAGCCGCGGUAAUACGGAGGGUGCGAGCGUUAAUCGGAAUUACUGGGCGUAAAGCGCAUGCAGGUGGUUUGUUAAGUCAGAUGUGAAAGCCCGGGGCUCAACCUCGGAAUUGCAUUUGAAACUGGCAGACUAGAGUACUGUAGAGGGGGGUAGAAUUUCAGGUGUAGCGGUGAAAUGCGUAGAGAUCUGAAGGAAUACCGGUGGCGAAGGCGGCCCCCUGGACAGAUACUGACACUCAGAUGCGAAAGCGUGGGAGCAAACAGGAUUAGAUACCCUGGUAGACAUCA
rnacentral:rRNA from 1 species